AUCAAACCGUCCUCAUAUCUUAACAGUUGGAGAUAAUAACGUCUGCGAGUGGUUUAGCGUGUUUCUCUUCAGCCUCCAUUCACUCAUUGCUUUCUCUUUCUCGACAUUUCCUCUACAGGUCAGGGUCUCUCCUGAGGGGCUCCCUGCUCAACUUGCAGACAGCUCCACCAGAAUCCUCUCCCCUCCAACUGUUGCUCUCUCAGCCUCCUGGGCUUUGUGAUUUUCCCUUGCUUCCUGCUUCUCAAACCUCUCUCCUGCCGUUAGGAGAAAGAGCUACACAACACCAGGGAGCGUUUCCGACCCGUGAUGAUAAGUUUUGCACUUGGCAACGCAACUACACCACUAGCAUCCUUUCAAGCCGCCGGUGUCUGGGUACCGCUGGCUUCUCUGGGAUCUCAGUGCUCUGGGCAGAUGACUGGAGCCCAGGAAUAUAGGAUUUAACUAGGCAAAUGGAUACAGUGAGACCUGCGUCAAAAGGCGUUCCAUUAUGUGGACUUUAGCGUACAUUCUAAGUAGAGUUAUUUUAGAAAAGCUUCCCGGCUCACAGCACUUUGGAGUUUUUCGGAGGAGGGAAAAGAUGCCCUUAGUUUGGACGAUAGCUUGCCAUCCUGGGAAAGCCCAGGACUUUACGCUAGAAGUUUCAGCGUUCAUAUUUCUAUCUUUCGAGCCUGGCCUUCGUGUUAACAUCAAGAUUUUUAAAGCUGCUUUUAGGGGAGAAGAUUUCUUCCCACGUUAUGAGUAGGGGAGCUCACAGCACUGACAUUUAAUGUUCUUUGGUACCUUAAACCAUUCCGUAGAUUUUUAUCUGGCAGAUACAGGACAAGCGGCGGGUACAUUAAGAAUUGAAGUAGUAAUGUUGUAUGAAAAAAAAAAAAAAAAAAAAAAGUGAAGCACCCGCUUCCGCAGCGAGCAGGGUUCGAACCUGCGCGGGGAGACCCCAUUGGAUUUCAAGUCCAACGCCUUAACCACUCGGCCAUCGCUGCUACGGAGAAAGGACGAAGGCGGAGACACUUUAGGGUAUCAGCCAGUGCACGCGCGCCAGCGCUGAGAGUAGGCGGGGCCUGCAGCGGCUUGCAGCUCCGUAGGCUGAGGCGCCUGGGACGUGGAGUGGCUGAAGUUUCCGCGAGGACGCGGAGAAAAAGAAAAGGGGGCGCGUCCGGGUCCUAGAACUCGGUCCUUCGCUGUGUUCGGGGAUCUGCCGCCUAACCUGGUUUCUGGUCGCAGACCUGGCUUUUGCCCUCCCGCUUUCCCAGCGGCGUUACGGGAUGGCCGUGAACCAUAGGGUUGUCUCGCUGCGUGUGGAGGGCUCGCCCGCUCGGAAGUCGCGGCUCUCUCCGGUGCGCGUUAGCUCUGCGUUCGUUACCCUUCAGCGCGAACGUGGGAGCCGCCCUGCGUGAUUUUUUUUUGCGUGGCCUCGUGGACGCGCUCAAACCCGUCGGACGGCCGUCGGAAGCGCGGCGGCUCGCGGGUGGGAGGCCACCGCAGCGCGCAUGCGCAGCUUCUACCCUCACCCCGUCCUCCCUGUUUGAAUUCCCCGCCCGGAGGCUGAGCGCAGGUUUCUCAGGAGGAGGCCGGAAGCCGAGGUGUCGAGCGACCUCCUGAUAGGUGUGUGGACUUUCUUGAGACCUCCCUCUUUAGUAACGGUGCUGGCACGUGACAGACCGUGCGCUGUGGUAUCCCGGGUGGUAUCCCGGGAACCCCUAGGGUAAAAAUUUCAAGGUGAUCAGCUGGGGUACAGUAGGAGCCCCAGAUCAAAUGGCAUCACUUUGGUCCUGUUUGUGACAAUCACUCGUGGCUUUUUUGUCCCAAUUAACCCUGCUAAGCCUAAUAGGGUGUUGCUUAUCUUGUUCUCUGAUUCUACAUGUACACCUUUAAUCCCAGCACUCAGGAGGUAGAGGCAGGUGGAUCUCUGAGUUCGAGGCCAGCCUGGUCUACAGAGUGAGUUUUAGGACAGCCUGCGCUACUCAAAAUACAAUACAAAACAAAAAGGCAUCAAAUCCAUUUUGUUGAGGCCUGUGGGGACAUUUUAUAAAAUCAUAUAAAUCAUAAAGGAAGAAACAUUAAGGGCUGUUCUAAGCCUGUCAUUUUUCCAGGGGACACUGGCCCAUGAGUUUUUUGGGAAAGGCUAUAUAGUUAAUAAACGGGAGAUUCAAAGUUACAACAUGCAAAAUUAGUUUAAAUAGUAGUUAAAUCAGUUAAAUGUAGUUAGAUCAGUUAAAUGUGAAUAAUCACUGUAUUCCAACCUGAGCAAGACAGUCUCUUUAAAAAUUAAAAUUAAGUGAAGGUCCCAUGAUUUGUUAUCUACAGUUUGAAGUUCUUUUUAAUCUUCAUUGUCCUUUGUUAAUCUCUAGUACAGUGGAAUAAAUAAGGAAGACUGAUAUGACAGUAAGCAAACUAACAGAUCAGAUGUGUGUGUGUGUGUGUGUGUGGUGUUUGGGUGCCUACUCAUAUAUGGUGUGUGUUUGGGUCAGAGAUGAUUUUAGGAAUCUUUCCCUUUCACUCUCUGACCCUUAUUUAAAAAUGUUUUCUCAUCUGAUAUAUUCUGAGGUAGUCUCCCACUGCCUCUUGAACUCAUCUGGUCUCAGUUGCUGGGAAGAAACACUGUGACCUAGGCAACUUAUUAAAGAAAGCAUUUCAU
rnacentral:lncRNA from 1 species